rnacentral:lncRNA from 1 species
CAUCCUUCUCUUUUACAAGAAUGUUUUCUCCACAACAACAUUGACAUUGUUGGGAUCAUGCAAAAAAAUGCUAAAUUUACAAGUGUUUGCAAAUUAGAUACAUUUAAUUGUAUGCUACCUUAUUUUCAUCUGCACAACACAGUGAAAUAAAUAUAAACAGUAAAACAAUAACUAAGCUAUUUCAAUCAGGUUAAUAUUAUUUGCUGUCCUUUAUCUGUAAUGUAUUCUUCCCUUUCAUGAUCGUCAU